rnacentral:rRNA from 1 species
UGGGGAAUUUUGGACAAUGGGCGAAAGCCUGAUCCAGCCAUGCCGCGUGAGUGAAGAAGGCCUUCGGGUUGUAAAGCUCUUUUAGUCGGAAAGAAAAGAUCAUAAUGAGCAAUUAUGAUUCAUGACGGUACCGACAGAAAAAGCACCGGCUAACUACGUGCCAGCAGCCGCGGUAAUACGUAGGGUGCGAGCGUUAAUCGGAAUUACUGGGCGUAAAGGGUGCGCAGGCGGUCUUGCAAGUCAGAUGUGAAAGCCCCGGGCUUAACCUGGGAAUUGCGUUUGAAACUACAAGGCUAGAGUGCAGCAGAGGGGAGUGGAAUUCCAUGUGUAGCAGUGAAAUGCGUAGAGAUGUGGAAGAACACCGAUGGCGAAGGCAGCUCCCUGGGUUGACACUGACGCUCAUGCACGAAAGCGUGGGGAGCAAACA